rnacentral:rRNA from 1 species
GAAUGCUGACAUAAGUAACGAUAAAGCGGGUGAAAAGCCCGCUCGCCGGAAGACCAAGGGUUCCUGUCCAACGUUAAUCGGGGCAGGGUGAGUCGACCCCUAAGGCGAGGCCGAAAGGCGUAGUCGAUGGGAAACAGGUUAAUAUUCCUGUACUUGGUGUUACUGCGAAGGGGGGACGGAGAAGGCUAUGUUGGCCGGGCGACGGUUGUCCCGGUUUAAGCGUGUAGGCUGGUUUUCCAGGCAAAUCCGGAAAAU